rnacentral:rRNA from 1 species
AGUGAACGCUGGCGGUAGGCCUAACACAUGCAAGUCGAACGGCAGCACAGUAAGAGCCUGCUCUUACGGGUGGCGAGUGGCGGACGGGUGAGGAAUACAUCGGAAUCUACUUUUUCGUGGGGGAUAACGUAGGGAAACUUACGCUAAUACCGCAUACGACCUACGGGUGAAAGCAGGGGAUCUUCGGACCUUGCGCGAUUGAAUGAGCCGAUGUCGGAUUAGCUAGUUGGCGGGGUAAGGCCCACCAAGGCGACGAUCCGUAGCUGGUCUGAGAGGAUGAUCAGCCACACUGGAACUGAGACACGGUCCAGACUCCUACGGGAGGCAGCAGUGGGGAAUAUUGGACAAUGGGCGCAAGCCUGAUCCAGCCAUACCGCGUGGGUGAAGAAGGCCUUCGGGUUGUAAAGCCCUUUUGUUGGGAAAGAAAAGCAGCAGGUUAAUACCCCGCUGUUCUGACGGUACCCAAAGAAUAAGCACCGGCUAACUUCGUG